UAGGGAAUCUUCCGCAAUGGGCGAAAGCCUGACGGAGCAACGCCGCGUGAGUGAUGAAGGUCUUCGGAUCGUAAAACUCUGUUAUUAGGGAAGAACAUAUGUGUAAGUAACUGUGCACAUCUUGACGGUACCUAAUCAGAAAGCCACGGCUAACUACGUGCCAGCAGCCGCGGUAAUACGUAGGUGGCAAGCGUUAUCCGGAAUUAUUGGGCGUAAAGCGCGCGUAGGCGGUUUUUUAAGUCUGAUGUGAAAGCCCACGGCCCAACCGUGGAGGGUCAUUGGAAACUGGAAAACUUGAGUGCAGAAGAGGAAAGUGGAAUUCCAUGUGUAGCGGUGAAAUGCGCAGAGAUAUGGAGGAACACCAGUGGCGAAGGCGACUUUCUGGUCUGUAACUGACGCUGAUGUGCGAAAGCGUGGGGAUCAAACAGGAUUAGAUACCCUGGUAGUCCACGCCGUAACGAUGAGUGCUAAGUGUUGGGGGGUUUCCGCCCCUUAGUGCUGCAGCCAACGCAUUAAGCACUCCGCCUGGGGAGUACGACCGCAAGGUUG
rnacentral:rRNA from 1 species